ACCCUGUCCCCUCAGAGUCUUCAGCCCUGGGCUUCUCUUAGGAGCACAACAUGAAGUGCUGGGGAGAGAGAGCAAGAUGAGAAGGCAGGUUGUCCACGACCUCCACCCGUUUCUGGCAUGGUAGGCAGGUGGGCCAGAAGAUGAGGCGUGCGGCAGCAGUGAGAGUCAGGACCACAUUCACAGAAGACAGACAGAUCAGCUUCUCUUUGGGAGUUGAAGAAGGAUUGAGGAAGGGACAUUUCAUAGGAUUUGGAAGGAGGAAGAGGAACCUGGCAGCCUGCUCAAGGUUGUAGAGAUGGGAAGAAGCAGAGGCAAACUCCAACUCACAGGCAUGAUUCUACAAUCAGCUCCUGGAGUUAAAUAUGUGUUUGGCCACCCAUUGAACCAUCUCCCUCUGUCCAUCUCCCAAGGCAAUCCACUGGGCCAGCAAGCAACCUCUUCCACCAGUGAAACUUCAUGAACAUCAAGGUCAAGCCAGCUUCCUCUGGUUGAACUCCAGAACACAUGUCAGGCCUGAUCCAAUAUCUAGCCCCUGUGUUCCUUGUCACUGGGUGAAGAGGAACCUAUUAUUGGAUUUAAUUAAUUAUUUGGUUUAUUUAUUUUGAAGCAAUCCAUAUUGUCUUAUUUAGAUGCAUCCAUAGUGCCAACAGAGAUUUUCAACUUUUCCUCUCUUACCAGACUCUGGAGAUGUGAUAAUGCAAUAUUUCAAAAGACUGUCAGAAUAACUGAUUAGAAACUUUGCUGAUUAAAGAAAUGUUUGAUAAAAUA